UAUUAAAAUUUUUAUCUAUUUGUAUUGUUAAAAAUUGACAUAGUUGGCGAAAUAAUCAGGAAGUGACAUGUAGUGUGUCACGUGUACCUCAUGCUGGUGUAUAAUGACCAAUUUUUAACAGAAGGAUUUGUUUGUUAUUUGAUCU
rfam:Gossypium raimondii Chr08_contig_798, whole genome shotgun sequence.